UGGGGAAUCUUGCGCAAUGGGCGGAAGCCUGACGCAGCGACGCCGCGUGCGGGACGAAGGCCUUCGGGUCGUAAACCGCUUUCAGCAGGGACGAGGCCCUCACGGUGACGGUACCUGCAGAAGAAGCCCGGCUAACUACGUGCC
rnacentral:rRNA from 1 species